GAGGGCAAUGGCCGAACGGACUUAAAAAAAUAAAAGCGAAUUCCAGCUCCGGUUGCAGCUAAAGAAGGGCGAGAGGGGACAGUUUGCGCUGGGACAGCGUCCGCCCGGUCUCCUGACUCGCAUCACACCCGCAUCGGGCUGGGAAAGUUUCCUCUUUCUGCCUGUUGGAAUUCACUUGAGAUUCCCAGCCCCGAGGAUUGGAGAAGUUUCCUGGAUACAGUGAUGCUGGGGCCAAACUGGACACAUAUGGGAAUUCCUGGCGUUGUGACGCUUUGCAUUAAAAAAAAAAUCCCUCAAACUAUUUAAGAUAGGAUCAGAGCACUAGAUAUAGGACUUAGCCUGAGCGACUGCCCCAUCUUCCUCUUUUCGCCCCUCUUUGGUGGGCCUUCGUGCCAGAUUCUCGCCCCUCCCUCAGUCCAGACGGAUUCCGGGCUGGGCUGCAGGGAUCCAGGUGACUGACUGGACCUGCAUCAUUUCCAGGCGCGGGGCUGGGAGGCCCAGGCAGCCCUGAGUCAGCCCGCCGAGGAGCAUCGCGUGCCUCAGAGGCUGGAGCUUGAAAGGCAACUUUACGCGUCUCCAAACAUACUCUUCCAUUUUCUCAAAGCGCUACUCGCCACCCCAUUCUGGUUCCCUUUACUCUUCAUUCAUCGGAUGGAAAAGGUCAAAAAAUUCUCCCCAAACCCUAAAAACAAAACCCAAGGAAAUUCUCUCCGUCUCUUUUCCUUGUUCGAGCUCCCUCCCCAAGCACGGCCGGGGCUGGAUUGCCCCCGACCGCUUUCUCCCCCGGCCUGCGGAAGCAGGGAGAAAGUUGGGCGCCGCUCGGAGCGCCUCUUCCCCCGCUGUGUGUGUACGUGUGCACGCUCACGUCUCCCCGGCGCCUGGGCUGGGGACAGGAACUGCUCCGGGCACCGUCAGUCCGACGGCGCUGCUCUGGGGGCUUGCAGGGCUGGGGGAGGGCGGGGACGCGAGCGCCGCGCCACUCACCCCGGGUUGACGCGCCCUCGCCCCUCCCCCGCCGUCUCCAUCCUCCUCCUGGAGAACAGGUCAUGAUUUUUGCUUCCGCACUGUGUGUGGAGACAGACUCUAGGAGAAAACGUCCCAGGCCAGGAGCAGCGUGAUCUCCGUGGGGAGUGCUGGUGGAGCCCAGAGCAGGUUAAGAGGUCAGAUGACGCAGCAGAUCAUCAAUAAACCUCCAGAUUCCAAGUCUGCCGUGUUCUGGCUCACUGUAGACACAGAGGCUCCUAUUGCUGGCAGGGACCCUGGUGUGAAGCGUCUCUUCAGGGCCCCUUGGCCGAGCUACUUCCAGCGCACCCGGCAACUCCAGAAUCUGACCAUGAGGCUGGUGAGGGACUCUCCCGGCAGGUGACCUCCUAGCUUUUCCAGGCUGCCGAUGCCUGAAGCUGCAGCCCCUGCCUACGGGACCCCAGACCUCCGGCUCCUGUGCAAACAUCCUCGUAGUUUAGGACAAGUCUUUGCGAGGAUGUUGGGAACCAGUGUGCCUGGCUGAGGACUGGAGGGGCCCUUGCGAGCUCCUGGCGAGUGUUCUUCUUGUGCCUCUAGAUCAGGUUACUCAGAGGGUGACACAGGCUGGUGUGCUUCUGCGUGGGUAAACCAGCCACCAUAGGUAUAUGCUUGUGUUUGAGUUCUGAAUUUAUCUUUUUGCUUUAUUUCAGACAAGUCGUUUAACCUCUCACAUCUAAGUUGACUGUCUAGUUUGAAUGCCAGUUCUGCCACUUGCUAGCCGUGUGGCCUUGGGCAAGCUCUUAACCUCUCUGUUCCUCUAUUUCUCUGUAAAAUGGUGAUAAUUAUUGUACCACAUCUCUUAGGGUUGUGAUGAUUAAGAGGCUUGACGUACAUUAGUAUAUAGAGGUCCUAGAGUUGUGUCCGCUGGGCCUUAAGCACCAUGCAGAAGUGUGAGCUACUGGCAUCCUCUGGGGCUCCCGCCUCCACCACCCUCUUUUUUAAAGUAGUCUUUUAUUUUUUCAAGGUACAGGUGUACCUCUUUUUCCACCACCCCUUUUGUGCUCGGCAGGUGUCUGAAGCAGUGUUGGUUGAUGCCCACGUCCUGAUACUGCUGCUACACUAACCUUUCAUCCUUGAGCCUGGGUAUCCUGUAUCCCGCUGUGUGUGUAUCAUCCAGUUUGCGUCUGUUCCCCCACCCUCCUUAAUUCUGUCAAGUAACAAGGCUCUGUUCCCCCCAGUCUUCCUGCCCUGCCCCCCAUGAUCACCUGCCUCACCUUUCUCCCAGUUUACUGCUGCCUUCAUCCCUCUUCCUGCUCCUCCGCUUUCAGUAGCCCCGCCCCACCUCCAUCCUACUAGGUGUCCAGGUGUUAAGUAGGCUUCCACUGAAGUCUAGUACAGAUCCACCCAUCGUCUCCUGGGGGUCCUCUGCUUGCCCCCUCAGGGCUCCAGAAGGGCUGACUCCAGGGAAAAAUUCUCCUCUCUGCCUCACACCCCUCCUCAACCACAUGGCCCGUGCCCUUGGCCAUAAACUCUUCUCUCAGGUUCCCUUGCACGUGGGAGAAGCCCUGAGGGCAGCCCGUGUUGCUUCCCGGGGUCCCUCCUAGCUGCUUGGUCACUGUGUUGCUUCUGCCAUUUUGAAGGCCUUUCCUUCCACCCUGGUCCUCACUGAGGCUCUCCACUCCCUCUGUGGCCUGGCUGGCAUCUGUGGACGGCCUGACGUUCUGGUUCCGUCCCCUUGGUUUCUGGGCUCUUUGGAGCCACCCUUCAAGGCUCAACUCUCCCACCUGUUCUCCUUUAGGUCUCUCCCUUGGAGACGUCAUCAGUUACCACGCAUCAGCACCGCUGGUUUCUCUCUAUAGUGACCUUGACUCCUGCUCUGCGUGUGGCUGUGUGUCCCCGCUGGUCUCAGCGCGCGUAGCCUCGAGACAUCAAGACCCAAGCUCCCCAGCCUGCCCUCCAAGCUGGCUGUUCCUCUUGAUUCCCUCUGCUAACCACGGGGACAGGGAAGUCCUUUCCGGCUCAGUCUCCCAGCAUUGUGUCCGCCCCUCCCAUCCCUCUGGGCAGCCUGCCUCUUGCAGCUGUUCUUCCGUCCCCUCAGCUCCUCUCCUCUCACCAGCCUGGGAUCUGGUCCUUCCCUUGGGUGGACUCGUGCAGAUUUCUCAGUGGUCUGUUCUUCCUGGUCUAUCCUCAGGCUCCCUCCAGAUUGCAGUGCUGCCCGUAUCCUGGGAAACCCUUAACGACUCCAGGGGCCGGGACACGGGCCCCAAACCUCUCAGCACAGAUUUCAGAGUCCCUGAGCUGAAUCCCAAGCAGCAGUUCCCUUUCUGCUCCCUCUCUGGAGGCAUCCUAGGAGGUUAGUUUUGUGUGUCAGCUUGUCUCGGUCAUAGUCCCAGCUGGUUAAUCAAACGCAAAGCUAAGUGUUGCCGCGAAGGUAUUUUGUGAGUGUGGUUAGCAUCUACAGUCCUUUUACCUUAAGUAAAGAAGAUUGCCCUAGAUGAUGUGGAUGGGCCCCAUCCAGUCAACUGAGGUGUCCCCGAGAAGGAAUUCUGCCUGCACACCGCGGUAUCAGCUCCUCCUGCGUUUUCAGGCUACGGUCUGUCCUAACAAUUCAGACUUGUCAGCCCCCAUGAUCACGUGAGCCGGUUCCUUACAAGAAAUCAUUCUGUGUGUGUGUGUGUGUGUGUGUGUGUAUGUGUGUAAAUAUACAUAUACACAUGUAUAUACAUAUACAUGACUA